ensembl:lncRNA
CACAGGCACACGGGGGGGACCAGAACAGACAGAAGAGAAGCAGGCUGAGAGAUCUUAAGGUGCAACAGAGAAAAAAAGAGAGAGAGAGAGAGAGAGAGAGAGAGAGAGAGAGAGAGAGAAUGUGGAGGACAGAGUGACAGACACAGAGAGAGUGGAGAAAAAAGAAUUGACAGACAGAUACAGAGAGAAAGAGAGAGAAAGAGUGGAGUACAGGGUGAAGGACAGAGAGAUUGAAAGUAAGAGAGAGAGAGAACAAGAAAUACAAACCCUUCGAGGACCUUACAGACUGGUGACGUAGCUCUACCCCGAAGACGAACGUGGUGGUCAUCAGCUUGCCAUGGCAACCAAAAUAGUAACAUUUCAUUGCCUGGAGGCCCAGGAGGAGCAGAUGUCUCACAGCAUGGAACUGUCCUCUCAGCUCAGGAAGAAGAAGUUUACAUCCAGUGAUGAAGAGGCCUCCCUCUGCAAGUUCUAUCCCAUCAUCCCCGGCGACAUCAUGUCAGUAAAGGAGAUUCUAACGGAGCCCAAAUUCCCACGUCACAGGACAUGGGAGGUCCUGAGGGAAACCCUGGCUGACGAUGAGCUCCGCCAAAGGGACCAGUGGACGCUUUUUGGUAACGAGGCCGAAAAGGUCGAAGUCGAGGUGAUCCGCAACCAACACGAGGUCCGCAGGCGGGUGGACCGCUUGGCGCUGCGCAGAGAGGUGAAGAAAAGCGACUGCACGCGUUAUUCUCGUCACCUGUAG